rnacentral:lncRNA from 12 species
UGUGAGUCUAGCAAUUGGAUCUUUGAAACAGACCCAUGAAAUAGUGCAGCACUUAUGACUUCUUUACCUGUGAACUGGAGUGUUGAAUUACCACCAAGGAAAAUGGAGAAUUCUUCUUUGGAAGAAUUUCACAGUCACUUUGUGCAGACAGAAAUGAAG